AACUCUUAGCGGUGGAUCACUCGGCUCGUGCGUCGAUGAAGAACGCAGCUAGCUGCGAGAACUAAUGUGAAUUGCAGGACACAUUGAUCAUCGACCUUUCGAACGCACCUUGCGGCCCGGGUUCCUCCCGGGGCUACGCCUGUCUGAGAGUCG
ensembl:rRNA 5_8S_rRNA 5.8S ribosomal RNA